GAUGAACGCUGGCGGCGUGCCUAAUACAUGCAAGUCGAGCGAACAGACGAGGAGCUUGCUCCUCUGACGUUAUCGGCGGACGGGUGAUUAACACUUGGAUAACCUACCUAUAAGACUGUGAUAACUUCGGGAAACCGGAGCUAAUACCGGAUAAUAUAUUGAACCGCAUGGUUCAAUAGUGAAAUACGGUUUUGCUGUCACUUAUAGAUGGAUCCGCGCCGCAUUAGCUAGUUGGUAAGGUAACGGCUUACCAAGGCAACGAUGCGUAGCCGACCUGAGAGGGAGAUCGACCACACGGGAACUGAGAAACGGUCCAGACUCCGACGGGAGGAAGCAGUAGGGAAUCUUCCGCAAUGGGCGAAAGCCGGACGGAGCAAAGCCGCGUGAGUGAUGAAGGUCUUAGGAUCGUAAAACUAUGUUAUUAGGGAAGAACAAAUGUGUAAGUAACUAUGCACGUAUUGACGGUACCUAAUCAGAAAGCCACGGCUAACUACGUG
rnacentral:rRNA from 1 species